rnacentral:lncRNA from 1 species
CUUACAGGGCAGCAAGCCAGCCAGUGCAGGCAUGUAGACUGGCAGACAAGACAGACAGAUUCACCCUAGGGUAACUAACUCCUUGCACAGGUACAGAUGAGCCAUCUCCCCAACCAACACCCUGGAACACUUUCUCAGCCUGCUCCACAGCAGGAGGGCAGAAGCUCAAGACCCGCUUGGUGAAACUUCUCUGGCCAAAAAGGAAAGCUAAGGUCUAGAACUGAGAGGCCCAGACAGGCCCAGCGCCUCAGUCCUUUCUAGUGAUGCGAGAAAGCAAACUCUCCUACAGUGGUCUCCCCAGUUACUUCAUCUCAGGGGAACCACUUAAACAAGGAGGAAAACUACUAAAAUUAGCUAAGAACUCCCUGAAACUGAACAGAUUCACUAGGCUCCUCCUUGCCAGAGUAAACUAUAAAAGCUGAAAGUCCCUCUCAGAGGGAAAAAAAGUGAGCCACAAAGAAAACAGAGAGGAGAGCUGCAAAGACUCAGAGCAGAACAGCUGCCUAGAAGAAUACCAGCCAUGCUGCCUGAAAGAGGUGCAGACCAAAGAGAAAAGGAUCUCUCUCUGGGAAAGGAUCUCUCCAACCUGUUGAGCUGCCUGCAGGCUGGGCAAUGACUUCCAAGUUCCCAGCUCGGAGCUGUGACUUGUGCUGGGGUGGGCCGUGGUGAUGCAGCUGUCUUUGAGUCAUUUCUGCUCCUGAUCCCACCUGGUGGCUGGCCAGCCAGCCUGGAAUUCACUCUGAAGACUCAGCAGGUCUCAAACUCAAAGCAACUCACCCAUCUCUCCUUCCCAAGUGCUGGGAUAAAAGCGGGCCAGGUGCGUCUAUGUAACCUGGGCGGCCCUGAAACUCACAGUCUUACCUGCUUUUGUCUCCUGAGUACCAGAACUAAAGAUGAGUACCACCAUGCUCAUCCAAAGGUAUUUGGAGCAGAGACCACGCCACUCAGCUGUGCCCAGGGUGCUGAUAGCUGAUCUGUCCUGCCCUCUGUCAACUCAUCACCCCAGAUGUGUCUCGUGCCUCCUGUUGACUAAACAAUGAAUUACUCAUC